UCUAGAACUUGAGAUAUGGGCUAAACACUAAACAAUGUCUGGGUUGCAGGACAGAUUCGGACUUCUCUGUUGUUGCUACAAUUUGGACUUGAAAACGAUCUUGUUAAAUCUUGGACUCCUCAUGAACGUUGUAGGCCUAUGUCUUAGCUUUCCAUC
rfam:Populus trichocarpa scaffold_4_contig_357, whole genome shotgun sequence.